GCCGCCCCUCCCGGUCGUAGACAUAGACCAGCUCGCUCCCGGUGGACAGGAAGACCUCCGCCCCGUGGCACAGCACGCGAGGCUUGCCCACCGCCAGGCCUCCGAGCGGGCAGCAGAAGCCCGCCAGCCACCAAGAAUGCUCUGAGAACUGAUGGGGAAGGGGAAAAGAAAAGCCGGAGGAGUCCAGAAGGUCUCCGCACUCAGCACUUAGAGCACAGGCUCCGGACGCGCAGGCUCAGCGACCAUGGCUCACGGGCCCAGCUGCUCCACGGCAUGUGGGAUCUUCCCGGACCGGGGCACGAACCUGUGUCCCCUGCAUUGGCAGGCGGACUCUCAACCACUGCGCCACCAGGGAAGCCCUAAAUAGUUUUUAUAACGAGAGACUUCGAAAGCCUUCCAGGGGCUCUCAGGCAGUAUUUACAGAAAAUGCUUCCUAACAAGUAAGUGACUGCAAAACAGCACACGUUUUCCAGGGAGAAGGCCCUAAGCUUUCACCACCUCCCCAACCGGAGGGGCAGCAGCUAAGCCGGGGGCUGGAGGUGCAACUCUCUGGGCUUAACAGGGAAGGCAAAGCCAGUGAAAAGUUUCGGGGUGCCUGGUGUCAAGUAUC